GGAGCUUUCAAUACUUUGGGGUCAAGUUUGAGGCAGUUGUAACUGUACUGAGUUUAGUUUUGCUAAUAAUGGUAUUCUACGUGUGUCAGCCUCGUGUGGACUUCUGUAAUGACUAAUGGAUAUGUUUAUAUCCUGAGCAUUUGCUGUAGGAAUUUUAAAUGCAAUCCCAAAACUCAAGAUUACCUUAUUUGGAGAAAUAUUCGUGUUACUAUGUUUAAAAUUUAAUAGAACCAUAUUUUACCUUUCACUUUGGGACUCGCACAGGAUGUUUGCAGCUCUUGAUAUACAGGAACUAGAACGUGUCUUUUAAGAGCAUGCGGUUUUAUAAUUACGUGGAAGUAUGCUACGCAAGGGAAAAAAGCCUCUUGCUAGUGUUAAGGGUCUUCAUAAACAGAAACCGCAAGGAACCUGGGAUCUGACAGCUGUUGGAGGAAUGCCUGUGAGGAAGGAGGAGGAACAGAAGAAUGCUUUGAUGUCUUAAAUGGUACAUCCAAACUUAAGUGAAAUAGAGCUGUGAGGACAUUUUGGGGAGAAGUGACCUAGAUAAGCACUGACUGUUGCAUUCAUCUCUCUUCUUGCUGAUUGUGAUGAUUUCCUGUGCCAUAGCCAUUCAAAGUCUGCCAAAAAAGAGUGGAGAAGGAGCAGUUUUUCCAUUUCCCUGAAAAGAAUUGAGUGAAGUUGACAGCAGGAUUGCAGAAGUGGGAGGACCCAAGGUGAGGGAAGCAUGGUUGGGAAUUUCUGCUAUCUGUUUGUCAUUAGGAUUUGUUUUUCUUUCCUUCUAAGACUUAAAUGUCUUUUAAUUAUAGGUCAGCUGAUUCUGUAACUGAAGAGUUGAGUAGCGGAUUAAAUACAGCCUGCUGUUACUGUAAUAAGGAAUGAUUAGGAUCUAGAACAGUUUUCUCUCUUGCAUGGAAAAAAAAGCACCAAUUAGUAUUAAUGAAUCACUGCUUGUAUAAGGCAGCCAGGUUUCUAGUUUCCCCAAAAUACGAGAAUGACCUAAUUUUGCCCAAGAAAUUUUGUUUUCUUAUUAUUAUUACUGUAGUUGCACUUUUUAUAAAUGAAAUCUUUGUAUAAAGGACUAUCUAAAGUUUUUAGGUAUACUGUUUAGAAAUAAUGAUUAAGAGUAUAUUUAAAUUUCUUACAUUAAAUAUAAAUGUACUGAGGCUGAAAACAAGAGCUUAUUUUUGGUUACAUAUCUGAAUUAAACCUGUGUACUCUUAUUUUGGUAGCUUAGUCAAGGAUUGAUUUUAUUGUCUUAAUGGAAGGAGAAAGGAGGAUACUGUUUGUCAGGGACUGUUGAAAUAGUCAUGCUGUUCAUUUGUGGUGUGUGAUAUAAAUGUAAACCUUUCGGAAGGUAAUUUGGCAUAUUUGUCCAAAAGCCUGAAAAAUGUUUGUACUGUUUGAUAAUAUACAAGCAUUUCUAGGAAUAUAUAACUAAGAAAUAAUUAUAGGCACAGGAAAGAUUCACAGUUACAAUGUGUAAAGUUGGAAACAGCCCAAAAUGAUCAACUAGGGAUUCCUGUUACAGAGGAAGAAACUUUCUUCUGUCUUGUUCAGGGCAGUAUCCCAAGUGUCAAAAACAGUGGCUGACUGGCCUGAACACAUGCAUGGAGGGUGCCAGCCCCAUGCCUGCCAGUGCUCUGCCCCCGUGCCACCACCACUACUGGUGCAAACACACCCAUGGAUGCCAGAAGCCCCACACCCCUCUCC
ensembl:lncRNA LYPLAL1-DT LYPLAL1 divergent transcript